rnacentral:rRNA from 1 species
CAAAAACAUGUCUUUUAGAAAAUAAUUUAAAGUCUAAUCUGCCCACUGAUAAUUAUAUUGAAGGGCUGCAGUAUAUUGACUGUACAAAGGUAGCAUAAUCAAUAGUCUUUUAAUUGAAGACUUGUAUGAAGGAUUUGAUGAAAUAUAAACUGUCUCUAAUUUAUUUAUAGAAAUUAAUUUUUUAGUUAAAAAGCUAAAAUUUUUUUAAAAGACGAGAAGACCCUAUAGAGUUUUAUAUUUAUUAUAUUUAAGAUUAUAUUUAUAAUUAAAAAUUAAAAAUAAAAUAAAUAUUUUAUUGGGGUGAUAGAAAAAUUAAAAUAACUUUUUUUAAAAAGUAACAAAAAUAAGUGAAAAAUUGAUCCAUAAUUUAUGAUUAAAAGAAAAAAUUACCUUAGGGAUAACAGCGUAAUAUUUUUUUUUAGUACAAAUAAAAAAAAAAGUUUGCGACCUCGAUGUUGGAUUAAGAUAAAAUUUAAAUGCAAAAGUUUAAAAUUUUGAUCUGUUCGAUCAUUAAAAUCUUACAUGAUCUGA